CACAUGCAAGUCGAGGGGCAGCAUAAUGGAUAGCAAUAUCUAUGGUGGCGACCGGCGCACGGAUGCGUAACGCGUAUGCAACCUACCUUUAACAGGGGGAUAACACUGAGAAAUUGGUACUAAUACCUCAUAAUAUCAUAGAAGGCAUCUUUUAUGGUUGAAAAUUCCGAUGGUUAGAGAUGGGCAUGCGUUGUAUUAGCUAGUUGGUGGGGUAACGGCUCACCAAGGCGACGAUACAUAGGGGGACUGAGAGGUUAACCCCCCACACUGGUACUGAGACACGGACCAGACUCCUACGGGAGGCAGCAGUGAGGAAUAUUGGUCAAUGGACGCAAGUCUGAACCAGCCAUGCCGCGUGCAGGAUGACGGCUCUAUGAGUUGUAAACUGCUUUUG
rnacentral:rRNA from 1 species